UGUCAAAUAGUGUAUUUUCUCCUAACCAGUAUCUUUUGUAAGGUUAGAUUUCUGUCAGUUUAACUUCUUAAACCAGCUCAUCGCCAGAUAACGUGAACACCAGUGCUGGCCCCAAGGAAGCACCUGCAGUGCCUGAGGAGGGGAGGAGAGCUGCAGCACUGCCCCUCUGUCAGCAAGCCACAGUUAGAUCGUACGGUUCAGCCGUGCAUAGAACGGACCCUGCAGAUGGGGAGAAGACUGAACAGUUGCCAGAGAAGGAAGAGGGCAGGGCAGAAGCUUUUGCUUCUAACUGCUAGCCCCGACACAAGCCAAAACAAAUCAUCUUCAGGAUGCCAGAGAGAUACCAAAGGUUGAAAACUGUUGGAGCGAUGAGAAUGAAAGUGAGGCAGAUGCGAGAAGCUGUACCUUUCAUGCACGAUCCAAGAGCAGAAGUGGACGGAGCUUGUGCCAGUUGUUCUGGAGGUCGCAGCAGCCUCUCCAAAGGAAGAGCCGUAACAUGCAGACGCCAGGGUCUCCGCACAGCUGGGAUCACACGGAGACAAGGCUAGAGUACAGCUGUAUGUUAAAGAUGGGUAUUCAGCCAUUCUUCGUUCCUAUUUAAUAACAGGUAAGUGGUGAAGUGCUGUCUUGUUGAAAUUCUUCCCCUGUCUGAGCAAACACCAUGUAACAUACCAUUUUUACAGUGAUUUGUAGAGUAUUUUUACUCCUGAAAUAUAGCCCUUCCUUUUUAGCCCUCCUUAAUCAUAGUGAUUUUGUGGAGAAUACCAAACUUUCCAUUCUUGGACUUAAAGCUUGACUUUUUCCUUCUUUAUUUCCUUUUGCAUUAAUUCUUUCUCCUAAAAAUAGACCAGUGGAGUCCCAAAAUACCCCAUGGAGCCUUAAGGAAACCUAGGGCACCGGCGGUCCCUCAGCCCCACGUCCCUGGGGGUGCCGGCAGCCCCUCGGCCCGGCACUGCGCAGCCGCCAGCCGUGGGCAGGGCUCCGUGCAGCGUCAGAGGAGCAGCGGCCGAUCCUGAACAAAACUCCCUUCUUCCUGCCAAAUCAUCCUGUUGCUCCCAGCGGGCUGCAAGUUGCAGUUUGUAUGGCAGCCCCACGGUGGGAAAAUUUGUAAUUUUUUGCUACUUCCAGGGUCAACAAAGUGGUUGUGUUUUAAACCAAACCUGUAAGACCUUGUGACUUCAUGGGACCUUCUUGUCUCUAGGUCUGAGAUAGCUCUCAGGAUAGUAAUAGAGGUUAAAAAAGAAAAAUCUAAAGAAAGAAAAUGAGCAAAUACGCUCAGCCAGGCUGCGGGCCGUGCUGAGUCUGCGCUGUGGAGCCGGCGCCUGGGUGCGUGGGGGCUGGCCGCCGGCGGGGGGGCCCGUCUCAUUGCCCCCUCUGCGGGGACGACGGCUGAUGUUGAUUUUUAAAUGCGUAAGAUUAGCAUGAGCCUGGAGUCUGUGCGCUUUGGGAUGUGGCGUUUUGAGAGAGUCCCAGACUGACAUCUGAUUUGCAGAGGCUGGGAAUGAAGCUUGAGAGAAAAAUGCAGGGUCUUUGAAGUGAAAAACUUUGAAGUUUAGAACAGCCAGCAAAUUCCUGUUGCAGUUUACAGUCUGUGGAAAAUCUGGAAGGUAAGAUAUUUAACAGAAUAAACGGGGUAAAAUAUUGAAAAGUAACA
ensembl:lncRNA